AGCAGGGGAGAGGCAGAGAGAGAGGGAGACACAGAAUCCAAAGCAGGCUCCAGGAUCCGAGCCAUCACCACAGAGCCCGAUGCAGGGCUCGAACUCACAAACCGUGAGGUCAUGACCUGAGCGGAAGUCGGCGCUCAACCGACCGAGCCACCCAGGCGCCCCAUCUCCCCCACAAAUCUUGGCGGAGCAUCUACUAUGUGAGGACACACGAACAGCAAAGCGGGUAAGGUCCUUAUGCUCAGGGAAGCAGUGACAAGGGUCAUCUAUGGGGUACAAGCAGGGUGAGUGUGUUUGGGUAAACCUGCAGGGGGCAGGGGGAGCCUGUAAGCUGGUGGUGGCGGCUGACCUUGUGGGGGUGCCAGGGAAAGCGCCCUGGAGGCAUUGCUGCUGUGCCUGAAACCUGAAACAUGAUUGGGGUUAACCAUGUGACGACGCUUGGAAGCAGGGAGAGAAAAGCAUCCAGGCAGAGGGAACAGCAUGGGCAUGGUCCUGGGUGGGGAGGAGCCCAGGGCUUUGGAAUGAUAGCGAGAGACCCCCCACACACACACUCACAGAGGGGCACGAUGAUAUAAGACGACCACGGCACAAGUGUAUCUGGAGCAGAGCCUUGUAGGCGAUUUGAAAGCCCUCAGACUUCAUCCUGAGAACAGCCAUGCAGCACUGAAAGUCUUGGACCCAUGUCCAAAUCUCGGCUGUACAAACACUAGCUUUGUGAUCUUUGGCAACUUACCUCACCUCUCUGUACCUCAAUGUCCUUGUCGUAAAAAUGGAAUUCUAACAGGAUGACCAGGCAUUCAGGCUUGCCCGGGACCGGAGGGGUUCCCAGCAGAGAGUGUUUUCAUGCUAAAACCAGGAAUGUCCUGGGCAAACAGGGUCACUUGAGAUGAUGAUGGCGUCUACCUCUGUUCUAAGAGCUAAAGAAACAGUGCACGCGGAGCCCUAAACACACACUGGCUUUGUUAAGGUGCUUAAUGAAACUUUUGUUAGUUGCCACUUUACUCCUGAUAGUCUGCUUCUUUGUGGACCUCAGUUUCCCCAGCUGUAUACUGCGUCACAUGAUCUCCAGCCCCGUGAGCCUAUGACUCAGGUUGAGGGUAUUACACCUAAUAAUGGCUAUAUUACAUUGAUCUUCUGCUUCCUGACAGGUGCUUGGCACUUGGAAGAAGAAACACAUUUUACUUUUUUACAAAGUGCAGCUGCCCUUCCAAGGAGGGUGGUCUGGUCCACAGAGGGCUGACGUGAAUGGAUUAUCUGAGGACGGGAGUCAGGGAGAGCUGAAUUAUUUGCCCUGCAGGCAACGCAGGAGGAAGGGAAGGAGAGAGGGAAAGAACCCCCACUGAUGUCCAGUCUCUCCAUUUGUACAAAAUGGGGACCCAUUUUCUUUCAGCCAUCCCACCACUGAAAAAUCAAAAAGUUAUAUAAUUCCCUGUGUGACCAAACGUGUGGAGACAUAAGCAUUCUUGUUGGCUGUUGAUGGGAGUGUAAAUCUGUUUAUCCUCUGUCCAAGUGUUUAUUUUAUUUUAUUUUAUUUUAUUUUAUUUUAUUUUAUUUUAUUUUAUUUUAUUUUAUCUUAUUUUAUUUUAAUUCUAUUCUAUUCUAUUUUAUUUUAAUGCUUAUUUGUGUAUUUAUUUUUGAGAGAGAGACAGCACAAGCAGAGGAGGGGCAGAGAGAGAGAGAGACAGACAGACAGACAGAAUCCGAAGUAGGCUCCAGGCUCCGAGCUGUGAGCACAGAGCCAAAUGCGAGCUUGAACCCACGAACCAUGAGAUCAUGACCUGAGCUGAAACCAAGAGUUGGACGCUCAACCAACUCAGCUACCCAGGCGCCCCUCCUUUGUCCAAAUUUUAAAUGCCAGUGCCCUUUGACCCAGUCGUUUCCCUGUUGGAGUGUAUCUCACACAUAAGUACAUGCAAACGUGAGAAAAUCCAAAAAGUGCAAGGAUAUUGUUGUAGCACUGCUCACAAUGGCAUAAACAUGAACUGAAGCAAAACUGAAACGAAAAUAAGAGGUAAACAAAAGUCCCGCAAACAGAAAAGACCCAUUAAAUGACGUGAGUCAGUGAAAUAUCAUUCAGGUAUCUGAAGGAAAGAGACAAGUUCUGCCACUGAAAUGCAUACCCUCUUUAACCCAGACGGUUGAGGAUAUCCAUACAUAUGUGUUACUCUUUCUGGUUAAGAGUAAACCAGAGACUACUCAUAGCUGUUUCUAGACAGACCUGGGACGGGAUGAGGAGGAGAUUCUGACUUUUAUUUUAUGUCCCCUCGACUUCUUCCACGUGCAUAUACUAUUUUUUUUAUAUAAAUCUACAGCAUAACAAUUACCAGGGAAAGUUCCAACUGCGCCAUACGGCAAGAAAAAUUUCUAUCACCUUAAAACUCAGAGAAACAAAAUGGGACUGGAUGCUCUCUGAAUGUUCUUCCCAAAUGAAUAGGACAUAAAAUAAACAAAUUGAUAAUUACACACAUAUUUUAAGCAAAUAAAUAACAACCUCAAUGACUCUGUUAAGUCUGCAUGUCCUUGUAGACAAGAGAAACACCGUAAGGAUAUAGGCUCCCUACUUACCGUCCAUUGACAACCUGCUCAUCAUACCUGAAGAAGAAGAUAUACCACAUGGUAUGCAAGUACAAGACAAAGAAAUAUUCCUAAUUAAUGGAUUUCUCCAACUCAACAGAUGUAACAACCUCUCUUCUUUGGGAAGUAUGGCUACGGUGGCUCAGGCAUGAUUUAGGGUGUCCCCCAAUACCCACCACUGUCCCUUUUCCCCAUCUUCACUAGCCUGCAUGUCUAAUAUAAUCUGUUUAUUUGCGUCUCUUCUCUACCAGCGUCUGAGUUUCUCAAGGACGAGCAUCUCUGAUCCAUCUCUGGGUUCCCAUCACCCAAGGAUGGGUCCAGGCUCAUAGUGGAUGCUCAGAAAUUCAUGCUCAAGGUUCGCCCACCAAAGUUCACAGUCCAAAGCCAUCACGCAUGUGGCAUGGUAUUUACCUAGGAUUCCUGGCAGCAGCCCAUGCAGAAGAGGAGUUGGCAGCCAAGGUCACAGACGCGGUACAGAAUGGCGGGAUCGCGGAGAUGGCGCCACAGACCAAACAUAAGAUGAGAUACUGAGGAUCAGACCGUUGGCCCCAUGUUGCCUGUGAAGAUCGCUCAGGAGAAAUCAUGGGACUUUUGACACCUCAUGCAGCUGAUUGGGAGCCGGGCUGCAGCCAGGAGAAGAAAGACAGCAGAAAUUACCCUCCCUCUGACACAGGCAAUCAAACCGAACUGAGAGAGCUGGAACAAGAGUCUUACCUUUCAGCACUGUUGAUGUUCAAGCAGCGGGAAGGAGAGGUCCAAUGGUGGCCGGCAGGGGUCAUUUUCCCAAUAAAGUUUCAGAGAGAAUACGAAAUCAAUCAAGUCGUCCUGUGUACCUCAUGGCACCCCAUAGGUCCCAAGAUGGGAUAAGGAACCAGAAAGAGAAGCUGUGACCCAUUCUAAGAGUCCUGGACCCCUUUGG